CUAAGAAUAUUCCGCAAUGGACGGAAGUCUGACGGAGCGACGCCGCGUGGAUGAAGAAGGCCGAAAGGUUGUAAAGUUCUUUUGCUGGGGAAGAAUAACCGCAGGAGGGAAUGCCUGUGGGAUGACAAGAACCGGCGAAUAAGCCCCGGCCAACUACGUGCCAGCAGCCGCGGUAACACGUAGGGGGCGAGCGUUGUUCGGAAUUACUGGGCGUAAAGGGCAUGUAGGCGGCUUGGAAAGCCUGGCGUGAAAGUCUGCAGCUUAACUGCAGGGGUGCGCUGGGAACUGCUGAGCUUGAGUGACGGAGAGGGAGCUGGAAUUCCUGGUGUAGGGGUGAAAUCUGUAGAUAUCAGGAAGAACACCGAUGGCGAAGGCAAGCUCCUGGCCGAUGACUGACGCUGAGGUGCGAAAGUGUGGGGAUCAAACAGGAUUAGAUACCCUGGUAGUCCACACAGUCAACGAUGUGCACUAGGUGCUGGGGCGGUAGCUUCGGUGCCGGAGCGAACGUGGUAAGUGCACCGCCUGGGGAGUAUGCUCGCAAGGGUGAAACUCAAAUGAAUUGACGGGGGUC
rnacentral:rRNA from 1 species